AGAGCUCAGUCAGUCGAUGCCUAUUGAGUGUCACUUAUUGGCACUCAUACUACACUUCUGCACCCUGCAUAUCAUUGUACGGGUUUUCAUUGUUGAUUUGGAUAUCGCGCGGAGCAGCUCUUGAUUUUGGAGAAUUGGGGGCAAAUGGAAUUUCUCUUAGAAAGCUCAGCUUCAGGAUGGAGUCACAGUAAUUCGUGGGAUCAUCUCUUGGUUUCUUAUUAAGGAUGUGAGGGUCACAUGUGUCAUUAUGGUUGGGUGGCAAUGUUCCUUGUGGUGUACCUUGCCAUGGUUCAUCUUCAUUUGAGUCACUUUUGAUUGAUAUCUAUAUUAAUAUAAAACCUAGAUCGGGAGGGUGUGAUACCACCACCUAUCAGACUCGACAAGCGGUCCACGGAGCUUUCAAGCCCCCCAUGGCGAUCCUAGAGAAGCGCAUGGAUCCUACUUCCUAGUUGGGACUGGAAGUUGGUGUAUAUAUCUUGGUAUGAGGCACUUGGCAUUGAUGGUACUACUGGUAUCAUUGCAUAACUUUCAUUCAUAUAUGCAUUGCCUAUUACCAGCAUAGUUGUUUGUAUUUGUCGAUAGUAUGGGAUGUCGUGUGGGUUUACCUAAUUAUGAUUGAACUUCCUGGGCACACAGGGGCUCGGGAAGUAUUGUCUUACUAUUUGCGAACUUAUGGCAGUAUAAAGGGUGGUCUCUUGUUUGAAGGUUGUUACUUCCCUUGUUUUUAUUUAUCUAAUCUUUUGUGCAGGGAUUUAGUUGAUACGGUCCGUUGGGAUUUUAUGUGAUAUAUGUGUUUAUCUCUAUUAGUAGGGUGUCACUUAGUUGUUCCCCCUUUUGUAGUGUAUCGUCGUGUUUAGGUCUUGGGAUGGCGCUACCUGGUACGUCCCUGAUUUCCUAGCUUGUUCCCUAUCUCUCUUUCUUAUAUCUGAUGCUUGUUAUUGGUGGCUUCCACAUUAUUCUUCUUAGUUACUUGUGAUAUAUACUCCUUGCUUACAUGUUCUUUAUACUUGAUUUAUCUUUGGAGCUCAGUCAGUUGAUGCCUACUGAAUGUCACUUGUUGGUACUCAUACUACUCUUCUGCACCCUGCAGAUUAUAGUACGGAUUUUCUUUGCUGCUUUGGAUAUCGGGCGGAACAACUCUUGGAUUUUAGAGAAUUGGGUGAGCUCUUGACGUUCAAAGUUGCCUAUCUCCAUCUAUUUUGUAUUAAGCUGGUCUUUAUUUUAUAUUUGGAGACAGUCUAUAUUACCAUUAUUAUUUUGGUAUUUGUAUAAGCCUUGUAUUCCGUUAUAUUAGUUCAGUACCUUGACUACCGACCGAUACCAGA